rnacentral:rRNA from 1 species
AUUGAACGCUGGCGGCAUGCCUUACACAUGCAAGUCGAACGGUAACAGGUCUUCGGAUGCUGACGAGUGGCGAACGGGUGAGUAAUACAUAGGAACGUGCCUAGUAGUGGGGGAUAACUACUCGAAAGAGUGGCUAAUACCGCAUGAGAUCUACGGAUGAAAGCAGGGGAUCGCAAGACCUUGUGCUACUAGAGCGGCCGAUGGCAGAUUAGGUAGUUGGUGGGAUAAAAGCUUACCAAGCCGACGAUCUGUAGCUGGUCUGAGAGGACGAUCAGCCACACUGGGACUGAGACACGGCCCAGACUCCUACGGGAGGCAGCAGUGGGGAAUCUCGGACAAUGGGCGCAAGCCUGAUCCAGCAAUGCCGCGUGCAGGAUGAAGGCCUUCGGGUUGUAAACUGCUUUUGUACGGAACGAAAAGCCCUGGGUUAAUACCCUGGGGUCAUGACGGUACCGUAAGAAUAAGCACCGGCUAACUACGUGCCAGCCGCCGCUGUAAUAC